rnacentral:rRNA from 1 species
UACGGGGGAGCAAGCGUUGUUCGGAUUUACUGGGCGUAAAGGGCGCGUAGGCGGUCAGCACAAGUCAAUUGUGAAAUCUCCGAGCUUAACUCGGAAAGGUCAACUGAAACUGUGCGACUAGAGUGCGGAAGGGGCAACUGGAAUUCUUGGUGUAGCGGUGAAAUGCGUAGAUAUCAGGAGGAACACCGGUGGCGAAGGCGGGACUCUGGGCCGAUACUGACGCUGAGGAGCGAAAGCGUGGGGAGCAAACAGG